GCCGCCGGAGUUAACUGUUCCAUAGUAAAGGUGGCAGCGGCCGCCAGCCAAUCACGGCUCGCGGACCGGCUGCAGCACCAAUCAGAAGAAGAUGAGGCUUUUUUUUAAAUCUGGCGUGAGCCAAUCACGGCUCGCAGACCGCCAGCCAAUGAGAAGCUGCCAAGUGGCAGCUUCUCAUUAGCUGGCGGUCCAGGAGCCGUGAAUGACGCACAGCCGGCGCCAGGUUCAAAGUGCCGUCUCUCCCCACCUCCGCCGCUGCCACAGCCGCCAGAGUGUGACUGAGCCGCGGGUUGUAACGCCCGAUCCCACCCCCCCACCCCCCGCAGCCGCCGGAGUUAACUGUUAACUGACGCUGAGCAGCGGCCAGUAAUGCCCAUGCCCACUCCCCAUCUCCCUGCCAGCGCAGCAGCUUAAAUUCCACCCUACCCCUAAGCUUAGUGACCCGCGGCCUGUAAUGCCCUCCCCACCUCCACCGGAGCACUGUCUGCAAGUGAAUGAUGGUCCGAGGCCCUAUCCUAACCGUGGCACACCCCUGGGCGUCUGGCAGGAGAGUCAACUCGCCCUCCACAUGAAGACCUCCAGCCUCACCUUCAAGAUGUGGGGAGUGUGGCCCAGCAUUCUCCUCCUGUGAGAGCAAUGGGAUGCAUCUUGGAGGCUGAUGACGUCUUCAUUUGUCCUGAUGUUAAAGCAAUGGAUGGCCCUACAGUACAAGCAUAAAAAUGUUUUAAUAUAGAAAUUAUUUUAUGUUACUAGAGAACACAAUAAGCAUACUGCCAGGUUGGUGCAGUAAAGUUGUGUAAUAAAUUC